rnacentral:tRNA from 1 species
AUUUAUAUAAUUUAUAAAGAAUAUUGCUCUGAAGAAGCAAAAGAGAUAAUUUUAUCUGUAAAUA